rnacentral:tRNA from 1 species
UCGGGGGUGCCCGGUGCGCAGGCCGGGGAUACUUCUCCUGCCAAGAGAGAGACGCGGGUUCGAAUCCCGCCCUCCGGUCCA